rnacentral:lncRNA from 1 species
AUGUUGAGAAUUUGUUACAUCAUUCUGAAAAUCUCCCCCUAACCCAGACCAAAGGAUGUUCAUUUUGACAUGGAAGUGCAUUGUUUAGAUCAGAUUAAGCUUCUGGCUUCUAGGGUAUAAGGAACAGAGACUAAGCGUAUAAUGCUUAAUGGGUAGCUUGCAUAAGUUCAUAACAAAAAUGGGUACAUUAUCUGCCAACGUCCUUUUAGCUACUUGUAACACUGUUGAAGAGUCCACUUUUGAUCUUCAACUGUUUGAUUAUUUCACUUAGAAAAGAUCUGUAUUAUUGUUAGUUGCUUGCAGGGGCGGAGGUAGCCUUUGAGUUUCGGGUUCACGAAACUUAGUAACUUUUGUCCAAACUCUAUAUUUCUCUUAGGGAAUUCAUUGAAUAUGUUCAAAUUAUUAAUUUUUUACCUAGUAACUUAAAAGGACUAGAAUUCUGAACCCAUAAGUUUCAAAACCUGGUUUCGCCAUGGUUGCUUGAUUUGCUUAGACACAUAACAAAUAAAAAUUUGAACUUGGUAUUUGGUUGUCUGCACAUCCCUCCCUCAUUUUGCUACCAUAGUUAACUAAUUUUAGUGCUAAUAGAUAUGCUGAGAGGGGUUAUUUAUGAAUGGUGAACUUUAUAACAAUAGUCUUCUGGUAUCAUGUUGCUUGGUUAUCAGGGUUUCUUUCAUAGUAUGAGGGAGAGCACAUUUAGAACUAGAGCAUCUAGAAUCUGUAUUUUGUAGCUUUGGAGCACCCUAACUAAGAUGUAUUUUGUGUUCAAUUUUUGGUCCCU